AGAUUGAACGCUGGCGGCAUGCUUUACACAUGCAAGUCGAACGGUAACAGGCCGCAAGGUGCUGACGAGUGGCGAACGGGUGAGUAAUGCAUCGGAACGUGCCCAGUCGUGGGGGGAUAACGCAGCGAAAGCUGUGCUAAUACCGCAUACGAUCUAUGGAUGAAAGCGGGGGACCGAAAGGCCUCGCGCGAUUGGAGCGGCCGAUGUCAGAUUAGCUAGUUGGUGGGUAAAGGCCACCAAGGCGACGAUCUGUAGCUGGUCUGAGAGGACGACCAGCCACACUGGAACUGAGACACGGUCCAGACUCCUACGGGAGGCAGCAGUGGGGAAUUUUGGACAAUGGGCGCAAGCCUGAUCCAGCAAUGCCGCGUGCAGGAAGAAGGCCUUGGUGUAAACUGCUUUUGUACGGAACGAAACGGUCUAGGGUUAAUACCGUCGGCUAAGUGACGGUAACCGUUAAGAAUAAGACGACCGGCUAACUACGUGCCAGCAGCCGUA
rnacentral:rRNA from 1 species